rnacentral:lncRNA from 1 species
AAAGUGUUAUUUGACUGGAGUGAGGUCUCAUGUCUGCUUAUGCGGUGGCUCGCUGCUCAGAACAGGGAUGGCAGAGAUGAGCACCACCAUCAAAAACUCAAGGACCAGUGCUGUGGGUCCAGUCAUCUGUUUCAUGGAAUUCACCAGUCUGGUAUCUUCAAAAUCCAGAAGGAUGAUGGCAGAUGGCAGGAAAGUAAUGCAAACGUCAUCAGGUGUGACCCCACUGUAGCAGCUGUGAUGGAUGUUUUCUCUCACCAUAGCAAUAAAUAACACAACCUCGGUCACACUGUAUGCAUUGUUGGUCUGCAAAAUCCAUGUUUUGCAAAACUCUUCAGGAAGGUGGAUCUGUAAUAUUGGCAUUGACAUGAGAACAACAGCAGUAUUUAUUCACAAUCUCAAGCUCUCUGUCUUCCCGUCUCUCUCAUUAGCCAUCCAAGUAGUCCUGAGGAACCAAGCCCAUCAGAACAUUCUGCAACAUAAUACACAGCUCCAUUCUCCAUUCAAAUUUUGUUGUUGUUGUUGUUGUUGAUGAGACAACAUCUUACUCCAUCAGCCAGGCUGACGUACAGUGGGGCUAUCUGGGCUGACUGUAGUCUUGAGCUUCCAGGCUCAAGGCAUCCUCUCACCUCAGCCUCCUAAGUGGCUUGAACUACAGACACACAGCGACAUGCUGGGCUAGUUUUUGUAUAUUUUGUAGAGACGUGCUCUCACCAUGUUAUUCAGGCUGGACUCAAACUCCUGAGCGUAAGUGAUCCAAGCACCUUGGCCUCAAAGUGCUGAGAUUACAAGCCUGAGCCACUGCACCCAGCCCAAUCUCCAUUCUACUGAUAACAAUGUCAUUACCAGGUCUGAUGGACAGGAAAUGGUAAGGUUUCUGAAAACCUAAGGAUCACACAGCGAGUUCCAAAGGCUGAAAGUGCAUACCUGUCGACACUGAUACCAAUGACAUCCAAUGGGAGGAAGAGGGUAAUCUGGAAGAGUUUCCUGACCUACUCUGCUGCUGUGAUUAAACAACCACCAGGAAAUUUUGAUGACACUGUUCUCCUGAGCUCCUCCCUUUCCUCGGGGAAGAAAAGCAUUGAAACUACAAAAAUAAAGUGUUAUUUGGCUGGAGUGAGGUCUCAUGUCUGCUUAUGCGGUGGCUCGCUGCUCAGAACAGGGGAACCAUUGGAGAUACUCAUUACUCUUUGAAGGCUUACAGUGGAAUGAAUUCAAAUACGACUUAUUUGAGGAAUUGAAGUUGACUUUAUGGAGCUGAUAAGAAUCUUCUUGGAGAAAAAAAGACUGGGUAUAUUUUCAAUAUGCUUUCCUUUUAAGGUCCCUCACCUGUGGAAAGUAAAGAAUGUCACUUUCUGACAGGCUCAGGAACCUCAAGUUAUGUAGGGAUCUCAAGAAGAUGGGGGAAUUCACCCAGUUCAUACAGGUGAAAUUGCUGUUGCAAAGAUUAUGAAUAUGAGAGAAGUCCAGCAUGGCUGACUUCAUCUCGUGUCUGGCCUCAGGCUGGCUGCCCUUGCUCACUCUUGGGCAUAGGCCAAGCUAGCCAUGGGAGGAAUUUAGUUUAUAGUUUAACUUUGAAGCACGGAUGAUAAUAGUCUCUCCCUAAAAUGAACCCCUUCCUUGCUCAGGGACUGAAACUACCUUUGUAUGACAAAUGAAAGCCCACAAGAUUAAGAUUAUGAGAGGGGCCUGAAUUCUGCUAAAAUGCAGGUGUAGCUGACUGAUAACAAGUCAUUGUCCCACAGCUUGCCUUUCUAUAAUCUCUUGCUUCUCAGGAGUCACAUGGCCAGAGGUCCUGAGAUUUCCAGUCCUGUGACCCCCACCCAGAGAUGGACUUAGUGCAUGAGGACCAUUUUCCACACCCCUAUGAUUUCAUCCUCAAACAAUCAGCAGCAACCAUUCCCUAGCCCCCUGCCUUCCAAAUUAUCCAUAAAAAUCCUAGCCUCUGAGUUAUUAGGGAGAUUGAUUAAUAAUCCCAGUCCUACCCCUUGGGUUGCUCUGAUUUAAUUAAACCUUCUCUACUGCAAUACCACGGACUCAGUAAAUUGGUUUUGUCUGUGCAAUGGGCAAGAAGAACAUGUUGCAUGGUUAUACAGGUACUACAAGCACAGUCUGAUGGCAAAUUAUUGGUUUUGCUUCCUGCCCUUGAUGUUUCUAAACAUCUAGUCCAAAAUUACUUGUGAAAGGUCCAGCAAAGCCAAUUUUAAAAGAGGCUAUAUGGCCAAUCACUAUUCUUUCUACACAUUAUUGCAAAUAAUCAGGCCACGGCUGGGCACGGUGGCUCAUGCCUGCAAUCCCAGCACUUUGGGAGGCUGAGGCAGGAUCACCUGAAAUCAGGAGUUCAAGACCAGCCUAGGCAACAUGAUAAAACCCUGUCUCUACUAAAAAUACAAAAUUAGCCAGGCAUGGUGGCAUGCACCUGUAAUCCCAGCUACUUGGGAGACUGAGGGAGGAGAAUCACUUGAACCUGGGAGGCAGAGAUUGCAGUGAGCUGAGAUCACACCACUGCACUCCAGCCUGGGCAAUAGAGUGAGACUUUGUCUCAAAUAAUAAUAAUAAUAAUCAGACCAAGUAUAAUGAAAUUAAAAUUUAUUUUGCAAAUAAAUUGGUCCUACUACAAUUUAUCCUUCAUAGAAAUGUGGAAACUGAAGAUAAAAAAAAUUAGGUUUCAGAAGAAAACUAUACUACACCUGUUAUUAGAUUCUAGCCCUAAACAUUGUUUUUGAGGUUUUUAUUAUUUACCUGCAAUUUGGUCUAAAUUCUGAAUUAUUUCCUGACUACAAGUAUCCAAGGAAUAAAUGGGUUUUCUUUUUCUUUAUGAUAGUUUUAGUUGGCUUCUAAUGCAACAACAAUUUUUAUUGUAAUCCUGUGUGCAUUCUAUUCCUACUAUUCAAAUUAUUAAUGUUAUAGAUCUUUCAUUGUAGUACUUCUGAAUUAACCAAAAUCACAGUAUUCUGAAGAUGAUUCUACAAAGCCUGCUGUUUCUACAAAGGCUGCUGAUGAUUUCUACAAAGCCUGCUGUAGUGUUGCUGUGGCCUCUGCUUAAAAAAGUAGAAAACACAUUGAUGCAGCAUGUUCACCCCAACCUCCCUGCCUAAAGGCUCAGGGACCAUCUUGGAAGAGGAAGGCGCGUGAGAUUGUAAGAGCCGAAUUAGGGGGAUGGAGUGUGGAGAAUAAGGACACUUCAUCUUGGAUGCUCACCUGCCAAAUUGACUUCUGAUGAAAGCCAGCUCCAGAAAUGUGCCUACAGUUACUACUUUCACCUAAACCCUGCCCUUAGUCAAAUCCUUCUCUUCUUCUAAGCAAUCAACUUCAAUUCCUUGUAUAACCCACAGUAUAAAAGGGCUUUUAUACCAUUCUAUCCUAUUGCAUGUAAGCCUUGGGUCUGGGAGGUAACAGUGUGGGAUUCCACCAUCUCAUCUCCCUGCCACCCAAACAUGCCUGCUCUUCUUUAAGCAAUAUUAAAUGUUUGUACUUCAGAAAU